UACAGAGGUCUCAAGCGUUGUUCGGAUUCAUUGGGCGUAAAGAGCGCGUAGGCGGUCCGAUAAGUCGGCUGUGAAAGUCAGGGGCUCAACCCUUGGAAGCCGGCCGAUACUGUCGGACUAGAGUCCGGAAGAGGCGAGUGGAAUUCCCGGUGUAGCGGUGAAAUGCGCAGAUAUCGGGAGGAACACCAGUGGCGAAGGCGACUACCUGGCCUGUUCUUGACGCUGAGGCGCGAAAGCUAGGGGAGCAAACGGG
rnacentral:rRNA from 1 species